rnacentral:rRNA from 1 species
CGGAGGUGCAAGCGUUGUCCGGAAUCACUGGGCGUAAAGGGCGCGUAGGCGGCUCAUGAAGGCUGUGGUGAAAGUCCGGGGCUCAACCUCGGAUCGGCCGUGGCGACUCGUGGGCUGGAGCACUGUAGAGGCGGGUGGAAUUCCGGGUGUAGCGGUGGAAUGCGUAGAGAUCCGGAAGAACACCAGUGGCGAAGGCGGCCCGCUGGGCAGUGGCUGACGCUGAAGCGCGACAGCGUGGGAGCAAACAGGAUU